rnacentral:rRNA from 1 species
UACGAAGGGGGCUAGCGUUGUUCGGAAUUACUGGGCGUAAAGCGCACGUAGGCGGAUCGAUCAGUCAGGGGUGAAAUCCCAGAGCUCAACUCUGGAACUGCCUUUGAUACUGGCGACCUAGAGUCCGGAAGAGGUUAGUGGAAUUCCCAGUGUAGAGGUGAAAUUCGUAGAUAUUCGCAAGAACACCAGUGGCGAAGGCGGCUCACUGGCCCGAUACUGACGCUGAGGCACGAAAGCGUGGGGAGCAAACAGG